UACGUAGGGUGCAAGCGUUAAUCGGAAUUACUGGGCGUAAAGCGUGCGCAGGCGGUGAUGUAAGACAGGUGUGAAAUCCCCGGGCUUAACCUGGGAACUGCAUUUGUGACUGCAUCGCUGGAGUGCGGCAGAGGGGGGAUGGAAUUCCGCGUGUAGCAGUGAAAUGCGUAGAUAUCGAGAGGAACACCUGCGGCGAAGGCGGGUUGCUGGGCCGACACGUGACGCUGGAGGCGCGAAAGCCAGGGGAGCGAACGGG
rnacentral:rRNA from 1 species